rnacentral:rRNA from 1 species
GAUGAACGCUAGCGGCAGGCUUAACACAUGCAAGUCGAGGGGGCAGCAUGACGGAACCUUCGGGUUUUGUUGAUGGCGACCGGCGCAAGGGUGCGUAACGCGUGAGCAACUUGCCCGUUUCGAGGGGGAUAACCGGUGGAAACGCCGACUAAUACCCCAUAGCAUCACAUUGAGGCAUCUUUAUGUGAUUAAAGAAUUUCGGAAACGGAUAGGCUCGCGUGACAUUAGCUAGAUGGCGGGGUAACGGCCCACCAUGGCGACGAUGUCUAGGGGUUCUGAGAGGAAGGUCCCCCCANACUGGAACUGAGACACGGUCCAGACUCCUACGGGAGCAGCAGUGAGGAAUAUUGGUCAAUGGGACGGAAGUCUGAACCAGCCAAGUCGCGUGAAGGAUGAAGGUUCUAUGGAUUGUAAACUUCUUUGUCUGAGGUAAAAAGCGGACGUGUCCGUUCUUGCAAGUAUCAGACGAA